rnacentral:misc_RNA from 1 species
GUAGGUGAACCUGCGGAAGGAUCAUUAUCACGUAUCCACGUAUAAACCAUUGUGAACCGUUCUUUACCUCUGGAGCUGAAAGAAACUGUUGAGUUGCUUGCGACUGAACUUUUUUUUCUGCAAAAGAGCGUAUUCUUUACAUUAACCAUUUCAACCCAAUCUUUAUAACUUUAUGAACUAACUUUAUUUUAUACUCUUCGGAGAUAAAAUUCAUUACGAAACAAAGAACAACUCUUAGCAACGGAUAUCU